rnacentral:rRNA from 1 species
GCGGGGGCGGCCUCUUACACAUGCAAGUCGACGAUGAUGCCCAGCUUGCUGGGCGGAUUAGUGGCGAACGGGUGAGUAAUACGUGAGUAACCUGCCCUUGACUCUGGGAUAAGCCUGGGAAACUGGGUCUAAUACUGGAUACUACCUCUUGCCGCAUGGUGGGUGGUGGAAAGGGUUUUACUGGUUUUGGAUGGGCUCACGGCCUAUCAGCUUGUUGGUGGGGUAAUGGCUCACCAAGGCGACGACGGGUAGCCGGCCUGAGAGGGUGACCGGCCACACUGGGACUGAGACACGGCCCAGACUCCUACGGGAGGCAGCAGUGGGGAAUAUUGCACAAUGGGCGGAAGCCUGAUGCAGCGACGCCGCGUGAGGGAUGACGGCCUUCGGGUUGUAAACCUCUUUCAGUAGGGAAGAAGCGAGAGUGACGGUACCUGCAGAAGAAGCGCCGGCUAACUACGUGCCAGCAGCCGCGGUAAUACGUAGGGCGCAAGCGUUGUCCGGAAUUAUUGGGCGUAAAGAGCUCGUAGGCGGUUUGUCGCGUCUGCUGUGAAAGCCCGGGGCUCAACCCCGGGUCUGCAGUGGGUACGGGCAGACUAGAGUGCAGUAGGGGAGACUGGAAUUCCUGGUGUAGCGGUGAAAUGCGCAGAUAUCAGGAGGAACACCGAUGGCGAAGGCAGGUCUCUGGGCUGUUACUGACGCUGAGGAGCGAAAGCAUGGGGAGCGAACAGGAUUAGAUACCCUGGUAGUCCAUGCCGUAAACGUUGGGCACUAGGUGUGGGGGACAUUCCACGUUUUCCGCGCCGUAGCUAACGCAUUAAGUGCCCCGCCUGGGGAGUACGGCCGCAAGGCUAAAACUCAAAGGAAUUGACGGGGGCCCGCACAAGCGGCGGAGCAUGCGGAUUAAUUCGAUGCAACGCGAAGAACCUUACCAAGGCUUGACAUUCACCGGACCGCCCCAGAGAUGGGGUUUCCCUUCGGGGCUGGUGGACAGGUGGUGCAUGGUUGUCGUCAGCUCGUGUCGUGAGAUGUUGGGUUAAGUCCCGCAACGAGCGCAACCCUCGUUCUAUGUUGCCAGCACGUGAUGGUGGGGACUCAUAGGAGACUGCCGGGGUCAACUCGGAGGAAGGUGGGGAUGACGUCAAAUCAUCAUGCCCCUUAUGUCUUGGGCUUCACGCAUGCUACAAUGGCCGGUACAAAGGGUUGCGAUACUGUGAGGUGGAGCUAAUCCCAAAAAGCCGGUCUCAGUUCGGAUUGAGGUCUGCAACUCGACCUCAUGAAGUCGGAGUCGCUAGUAAUCGCAGAUCAGCAACGCUGCGGUGAAUACGUUCCCGGGCCUUGUACACACCGCCCGUCAAGUCACGAAAGUUGGUAACACCCGAAGCCGGUGGCCUAACCCCUUGUGGGAGGGAGCCGUCGAAGGUGGUCGGGG